AUUGAACGCUGGCGGCAGGCCUAACACAUGCAAGUCGAACGGUAACAGGAAACAGCUUGCUGUUUCGCUGACGAGUGGCGGACGGGUGAGUAAUGUCUGGGAAACUGCCUGAUGGAGGGGGAUAACUACUGGAAACGGUAGCUAAUACCGCAUAACGUCGCAAGACCAAAGAGGGGGACCUUCGGGCCUCUUGCCAUCGGAUGUGCCAGAUGGGAUUAGCUAGUAGGUGGGGUAACGGCUCACCUAGGCGACGAUCCCUAGCUGGUCUGAGAGGAUGACCAGCCACACUGGAACUGAGACACGGUCCAGACUCCUACGGGAGGCAGCAGUGGGGAAUAUUGCACAAUGGGCGCAAGCCUGAUGCAGCCAUGCCGCGUGUAUGAAGAAGGCCUUCGGGUUGUAAAGUACUUUCAGCGGGGAGGAAGGGAGUAAAGUUAAUACCUUUACUCAUUGACGUUACCCGCAGAAGAAGCACCGGCUAACUCCGUG
rnacentral:rRNA from 1 species